GACGAACGCUGGCGGCGUGCCUAACACAUGCAAGUCGAACGGGGAGUUAUUUAUAACUCCUAGUGGCGAACGGGUGAGUAACGCGUAGACAACCUGCCUCUAAAUUGGGGACAACACCGCGAAAGUGGUGCUAAUACCGAAUGUGGUAACUUGGUCGCAUGACUAGGUUAAGAAAGAUGGCCUCUAUAUAUAAGCUAUCGAUUAGAGAUGGGUCUGCGUCUGAUUAGCUAGUUGGUGAGGUAAUGGCUCACCAAGGCGACGAUCAGUAGCCGGUCUGAGAGGAUGAACAGCCACACUGGGACUGAGACACGGCCCAGGCUCCUACGGGAGGCAGCAGGGGGGAAUCUUCCGCAAUGGACGAAAGUCUGACGGAGCAACGCCGCGUGAGUGAAGAAGGUCUUCGGAUUGUAAAGCUCUGUCGUUUGGGACGAACGUGGAUUGUGUGAAUAAUGCAGUCUAAUGACGGUACCAAAGGAGGAAGCCACGGCUAACUACGUGCCAGCCGCCGCCGUAA
rnacentral:rRNA from 1 species